rnacentral:rRNA from 1 species
UAGCGGAACUCCUACGGGAGGCAGCAGUGGGGAGUAUUGGACAAUGGGCGAAAGCCUGAUCCAGCCAUGCCGCGUGUGUGGAGAAGGUCUUCGGAUUGUAAAGCACUUUCAGUUGGGAGGAAGGGCAGUUACCUAAUACGUAAUUGUUUUGACGUUACCGACAGAAUAAGCACCGGCUAACUCUGUGCCAGCAGCCGCGGUAAUACAGAGGGUGCAAGCGUUAAUCGGAAUUACUGGGCGUAAAGCGCGCGUAGGUGGUUUGUUAAGUUGGAUGUGAAAUCCCCGGGCUCAACCUGGGAACUGCAUUCAAAACUGACUGACUAGAGUAUGGUAGAGGGUGGUGGAAUUUCCUGUGUAGCGGUGAAAUGCGUAGAUAUAGGAAGGAACACCAGUGGCGAAGGCGACCACCUGGACUAAUACUGACACUGAGGUGCGAAAGCGUGGGGAGCAAACAGGAUUAGAUACCCUUGUAGUCCACUUAUG